ensembl:lincRNA
GAGGCUUUCCUGUGGCAGUAACAAGUAUUCGGAAGGACCCAAAGCGGGGCUGAGACCUGGAGUGAGGGACCAGGGCAAGUGGUAACCAAGCCAGGAAUGGGCGAGAAAGCAGAACCAGCAGGGUCACCCAAAGCUUCCAAGGAUUUACGCAGCAAGUAAAAGAAAGCAGUCCUUCCCAGCCAGCCUGCCUCUGCCUGGCCCCCAGCAAG